CGCGGAGUAGAGCAGCCCGGUAGCUCGUCGGGCUCAUAACCCGAAGGUCGUCAGUUC
rnacentral:tRNA from 1 species